rnacentral:rRNA from 1 species
GACGAACGCUGACGGCGUGCUUAACACAUGCAAGUCGAAUGGAGUGGCGAACGGGUGAGUAACACGUGAGUAACCUGCCCUUUUCUUUGGGAUUAGCCUGGGAAACUGGGACUAAUACUGGAUGGCAUGAGCUGGGAUCGCGGGUUAUCAGCUUGUUGGGGGGGUGAUGGCUUACCAAGGCUUUGACGGGUCGCCGGCCUGAGAGGGUGGUCGGUCAGUCUGGGUCUGAGAAACGGGACUGAGUCAUGCGCGUGACAGCAUUGGGGGAUAUGGCACAAUGGACGAAAGUCAGAUGCAGAGACGUCGUGUGGGGGAUGAAGGCCUGCGGAUUGAAUACUCCUUUCGCCCGCGGCAUGGUAGUGGGUAAAGAAGCGCCGGCUAACUACGUGCCAGCCGCCGCGGUAAGUC